rnacentral:lncRNA from 1 species
UUGACUAUAUGGAUUAGGAGGAAGGGAUCCGACCUUUUUUCAUAUAACUUUUUGUAGCCACUUUAGCAACAGUGGUCUCCAAAGUUUUGAGAGCAACUUUGUUAAUGCAUAAUUGCGUCUUCAAAUUUAUAUGAUGCAAAUACAUCGCUAAUAUAUCAAGCAAAAUUUUUUACACAUAAUAUUAAAUUAGUGAUACACAACGUCAUGAUAGUAAUGUAUACGUCACAGUUAGUAAAUUUGCAUAUAAUUAAGGUUCUAAAAAAUGUUAGGCGCUGGUCGGGCAGUGGGCUAGGCAGGGUCUAGGCGGACUAG